GACGAACGCUGGCGGCGUGCCUAAUACAUGCAAGUAGAACGCUGAAGGAGGAGCUUGCUUCUCUGGAUGAGUUGCGAACGGGUGAGUAACGCGUAGGUAACCUGCCUGGUAGCGGGGGAUAACUAUUGGAAACGAUAGCUAAUACCGCAUAAUAGCAGUUGUUGCAUGACAACUGUUUGAAAGGUGCAAUUGCACCACUACCAGAUGGACCUGCGUUGUAUUAGCUAGUUGGUGGGGUAACGGCUCACCAAGGCGACGAUACAUAGCCGACCUGAGAGAGUGAUCGGCCACACUGGGACUGAGACACGGCCCAGACUCCUACGGGAGGCAGCAGUAGGGAAUCUUCGGCAAUGGACGGAAGUCUGACCGAGCAACGCCGCGUGAGUGAAGAAGGUUUUCGGAUCGUAAAGCUCUGUUGUAAGAGAAGAACGAGUGUGAGAGUGGAAAGUUCACACUGUGACGGUAUCUUACCAGAAAGGGACGGCUAACUACGUG
rnacentral:rRNA from 1 species